rnacentral:tRNA from 1 species
GGGCCUGUAGCUCAGUCGGUUAGAGCAGAGGACUCAUAAUCCUUUGGUCCAGGGUUCGAAUCCCUGCGGGCCCACCA